UACAGAGACUGCAAGCGUUAUUCGGAUUCACUGGGCGUAAAGGGUGCGCAGGCGGUUGUGUGUGUCAGGUGUGAAAGCCCGGGGCUUAACCCCGGAAUUGCGCCUGAAACUACAUGACUAGAGCAUUGGAGAGGGUAGCGGAAUUCACGGUGUAGCAGUGAAAUGCGUAGAUAUCGUGAGGAACACCAGUGGCGAAGGCGAUCACCUGGGGUUGUUCUGACGCUGAGGAGCGAAAGCUAGGGGAGCAAACGGG
rnacentral:rRNA from 1 species